CUUCCGACUUUUUUUUACUUCAGUUUUUACCCCAAAAGGGGGGCUCGGAUUGAUCAAGGUGCAAAACAAUUGUAGGGGGAAAGGAAGCCUCCCCAGAAAAAUGGUAAUGCCAUGGGGCGUCACUGUUUGGAUGGCAAAGGUGGUGUGGUUGGCCCUCACCGGCUUGAUUUCGUCUUGCUUAGCCGUUGCCGAUGAAGUCGCCGGCUCCCUUAGAACCGGAGAUAUUGGCCCUUUGCAUGUCGGCUGAUUGAUUGUCACCGGACUCACCACUCCUAUGCUCUCUGAUGGUUAAAAUCCGUAAAUAACGGUGAAGGGACGGUGGGUGCAUGGCCUGGACAUUCAGAGCUGCUAAUUUUAUACUGUGAAUACUGUAAAUACUGUGAGUAGAUUUCUUUUAUUUUUAUUUAUUUUUUGUUUCAUAUUAAAUACCAAAGUCAUACUGGGGUUUGUGCUUUGUACUGGAAAGUUGUAUAUCUCUGGUUUGUGUUUGGAAAUCAAUAAGAUUGUUGGGUGCUAUGCUUUAAAAC